UACGUAGGGUGCGAGCGUUGUCCGGAAUUAUUGGGCGUAAAGAGCUCGUAGGCGGUCUGUCGCGUCGAUCGUGAAAACUUGGGGCUUAACCCUGAGCUUGCGGUCGAUACGGGCAUGACUGGAGUUCGGCAGGGGAGACUGGAAUUCCUGGUGUAGCGGUGAAAUGCGCAGAUAUCAGGAGGAACACCGGUGGUGAAGGCGGGUCUCUGGGCCGAUACUGACGCUGAGGAGCGAAAGCGUGGGGAGCGAACAGG
rnacentral:rRNA from 1 species